rnacentral:rRNA from 1 species
CCUACGGGUGGCAGCAGUGAGGAAUAUUGGUCAAUGGGCGCGAGCCUGAACCAGCCAAGUAGCGUGAAGGAUGACUGCCCUACGGGUUGUAAACUUCUUUUAUAAAGGAAUAAAGUGAGGCACGUGUGCCUUUUUGUAUGUACUUUAUGAAUAAGGAUCGGCUAACUCCGUGCCAGCAGCCGCGGUAAUACGGAGGAUCCGAGCGUUAUCCGGAUUUAUUGGGUUUAAAGGGAGCGUAGAUGGGUUGUUAAGUCAGCGGUAAAAUCGCGGGGCUCAACCUCGCUCCGCCGUUGAAACUGGCGUUCUUGAGUGGGCGAGAAGUAUGCGGAAUGCGUGGUGUAGCGGUGAAAUGCAUAGAUAUCACGAAGAACUCCGAUUGCGAAGGCAGCUUACUAAACUGCCACUGACAUUGAUGCUCGAAAGUGUGGGUAUCAAACAGGAUUAGAUACCCUUGUAGUC